rnacentral:snRNA from 1 species
AUUAGCGGUAGUGGUUUAAUC